GCUUUUAAAGGAUAAUAGCUCAUCCAUUGGUCUUAGGA
rnacentral:tRNA from 1 species